CCUACGGGAGGCAGCAGUGAGGAAUAUUGGUCAAUGGGCGAGAGCCUGAACCAGCCAAGUCGCGUGAAGGAUGACGGCCCUACGGGUUGUAAACUUCUUUUGUCAGGGAGCAAUUGGUUCCACGCGUGGGCUUAGCGAGAGUACCUUAAGAAAAAGCAUCGGCUAACUCCGGGCCAGCAGCCGCGGUACUACGGAGGAUGCGAGCGUUAUCCGGUUUUAUUGGGAUUAAAGGGUGCGUCGGCGGAAGAUCACGUCAGCGGGAAAACUUCUGGGCUAAACCCCGUAGUGCCGUUGAGACUGAUGUUCUUGAGUGGGCGAGAAGUAUGCGGAAGACGUGGUGUAGCGGUGAAAUGCAUAGAUAUCACGCAGAACUCCGAUGGCGAAGGCAGCAUACCGGCGCCCAACUGACGCUGAAGCACGAAAGCGUGGGUAUCGAACAGGAUUAGAUACCCGUGUAGUC
rnacentral:rRNA from 1 species